CCUACGGGUGGCAGCAGUGGGGAAUAUUGCACAAUGGGGGAAACCCUGAUGCAGCGACGCCGCGUGAGCGAUGGAGUAUUUCGGUAUGUAAAGCUCUAUCAGCAGGGAAGAAGAUGACGGUACCUGACUAAGAAGCCCCGCCUAACUACGUGCCAGCAGCCGCGGUAAUACGUAGGGGGCAAGCGUUAUCCGGAUUUACUGGGUGUAAGGGGAGCGUAGACGGCGAUGCAAGCCAGAUGGGAAAGCCCGGGUCUCAACCGCGGGACUGCAGUUGGAACUGUGUGGCUGGAGUGUCGGAGAGGCAGGCGGAAUGUGUAGUGUAGCGGUGAAAUGCGUAGAUAUUAGGAGGAACACCAGUGGCGAAGGCGGCCUGCUGGACGAUGACUGACGUUGAGGCUCGAAAGCGUGGGGAGCAAACAGGAUUAGAUACCCGUGUAGUC
rnacentral:rRNA from 1 species